UGGGAUAUCGCCAAGCGGUAAGGCAGCAGGUUUUGAUCCUGCCAUUCCCAGGUUCAAAUCCUGGUAUCCCAG
rfam:Pseudoalteromonas lipolytica SCSIO 04301 genomic scaffold Scaffold1, whole genome shotgun sequence.